rnacentral:rRNA from 1 species
AGCGAACGCUGGCGGCAGGCUUAACACAUGCCAGUCGAGCGGGCAUCCUUGUGGUGUCAGCGGCAGACGGGUGAGUAACGCGUGGGAACGUGCCCUUCGGUUCGGAAUAACUCAGGGAAACUUGAGCUAAUACCGGAUACGUGCGAGAGCAGAAAGGUUUAUCUGCCGAAGGAUCGGCCCGCGUCUGAUUAGCUAGUUGGUGAGGUUAUGGCUCACCAAGGCGACGAUCAGUAGCUGGUCUGAGAGGAUGAUCAGCCACACUGGGACUGAGACACGGCCCAGACUCCUACGGGAGGCAGCAGUGGGGAAUAUUGGACAAUGGGGGCAACCCUGAUCCAGCCAUGCCGCGUGAGUGAUGACGGCCUUAGGGUCGUAAAGCUCUUUUCUCCGGGACGAUAAUGACGGUACCGGAGGAAUAAGCCCCGGCUAACUUCGUG